rnacentral:misc_RNA from 1 species
UCUCCGUAGGUGAACCUGCGGAGGGAUCAUUACACAAAAAAUAUGAAGGCUGUAUGCGCUGGCGCCCUCCGGGCACCAGUGGCGGAGGCUGAAUUAUUUUUCCACCCAUGUCUUUUGCGUACUUGUUGUUUCCUGGGCGGGUUCGCCCGCCACCAGGACCACACCACAAACUUUUUUAAAUUGUAAUCAGCGUCAGUAUAACAAAUGUUAAAUCAUUUACAACUUUCAACAACGGAUCUCUUGGUUCUG